rnacentral:rRNA from 1 species
UAGGGAAUCUUCGGCAACGGACGGAAGUCUGACCGAGCAACGCCGCGUGAGUGAAGAAGGUUUUCGGAUCGUAAAGCUCUGUUGUAAGAGAAGAACGAGUGUGAGAGUGGAAAGUUCACACUGUGACGGUAUCUUACCAGAAAGGGACGGCUAACUACGUGCCAGCAGCCGCGGUAAUACGUAGGUCCCGAGCGUUGUCCGGAUUUAUUGGGCGUAAAGCGAGCGCAGGCGGUUAGAUAAGUCUGAAGUUAAAGGCUGUGGCUUAACCAUAGUACGCUUUGGAAACUGUUUAACUUGAGUGCAAGAGGGGAGAGUGGAAUUCCAUGUGUAGCGGUGAAAUGCGUAGAUAUAUGGAGGAACACCGGUGGCGAAAGCGGCUCUCUGGCUUGUAACUGACGCUGAGGCUCGAAAGCGUGGGGAGCAAACAGGAUUAGAUACCCUGGUAGUCCACGCCGUAAACGAUGAGUGCUAGGUGUUAGACCCUUUCCGGGGUUUAGUGCCGCAGCUAACGCAUUAAGCACUCCGCCUGGGGAGUACGACCGCAAGGUUG